CGCGGGAUGGAGCAGUUUGGUAGCUCGUUGGGCUCAUAACCCGAAGGUCGUUGGUUCAAAUCCAGCUCCCGCAACCA
rnacentral:tRNA from 1 species